CCAUUCUAACCGGUGGAUCACUCGGCUCGU
rnacentral:rRNA from 1 species